AUUCUUUAGCAUAAAGAUGUUUUUCAUUUAUAUUUUUAUAAAUUAUAAUAGCUUAUUAUUAACAAAGAUUAUUUGUAAACAUUCAUUAGAGUAGUAUUGAAAUGAUAGUUAUUUUGGUCACAUUUUGCAAAGAGAGAAUCAGAAAGCAAUCUGUGAAAUUUCAUAGAUGAAUUGUCUAUAUUUAGCCUAUUUUCAAAACUGUUUUCUGUGGGGAAAUCAGCAUCCAGGUCACAGCUGUCGAGAUUCGUUCCAGACUUCCACCCUCCUCCUUCCAUCUUUUUCAGUCAGAAUGCAUAUAUUGAAUAACAACUGUUUUUUCAACAUGCAAAAUGUGUUAGAAAUCGCAUGGAUAAAAAAACAUUAUGUACUUUGUAAAAAUUCAAUCUCUGCUUAAAGAAAUUCUAAUUAAUGAAUUUUAAAAAAAUCUGUAUAUGGCAGUUUUUAUGAUGUUACCAUUUAUAUAAUUUCUCCAUUACUACAAUACUUUUCAACCGU
rnacentral:lncRNA from 1 species